rnacentral:rRNA from 1 species
UGGCGGCAGGCUUAACACAUGCAAGUCGAGCGGUAGCAGAUCUAGCUUGCUAGAUGCUGACGAGCGGCGGACGGGUGAGUAACGCGUAGGAACCUGCCCAGUAGUGGGGGAUAGCCCGGGGGAAACUCGGAUUAAUACCGCAUACGCUCUACGGAGGAAAGAGGGGGCUUCGGCUCUCGCUAUUGGAUGGGCCUGCGUGAGAUUAGCUAGUUGGUGAGGUAAUGGCUCACCAAGGCGACGAUCUCUAGCUGGUCUGAGAGGAUGAUCAGCCACACUGGGACUGAGACACGGCCCAGACUCCUACGGGAGGCAGCAGUGGGGAAUAUUGCACAAUGGGCGCAAGCCUGAUGCAGCCAUGCCGCGUGUGUGAAGAAGGCUUUCGGGUUGUAAAGCACUUUCAGUGGGGAGGAAGGCCUCGUAGUUAAUAGCUGCGAGGAUUGACGUUACCCACAGAAGAAGCACCGGCUAACUCCGUG